UACGUAGGGUGCGAGCGUUGUCCGGAAUUAUUGGGCGUAAAGAGCUUGUAGGCGGUUUGUCGCGUCUGCUGUGAAAAUCCGGGGCUCAACCCCGGACUUGCAGUGGGUACGGGCAGACUAGAGUGUGGUAGGGGAGACUGGAAUUCCUGGUGUAGCGGUGGAAUGCGCAGAUAUCAGGAGGAACACCGGUGGCGAAGGCGGAUCUCUGGGCCUUACCUGACGCUGAGGCGCGAAAGCUAGGGGAGCAAACAGG
rnacentral:rRNA from 1 species